GAUGAACGCUGGCGGCGUGCUUAACACAUGCAAGUCGAACGGGAAACCUUUUAUUGAAGCUUCGGCAGAUUUAGCUGGUUUCUAGUGGCGGACGGGUGAGUAACGCGUGGGUAACCUGCCUUAUACAGGGGGAUAACAGUCAGAAAUGACUGCUAAUACCGCAUAAGCGCACAGAGCUGCAUGGCUCGGUGUGAAAAACUCCGGUGGUAUAAGAUGGACCCGCGUUGGAUUAGCUAGUUGGUGAGGUAACGGCCCACCAAGGCGACGAUCCAUAGCCGGCCUGAGAGGGUGAACGGCCACAUUGGGACUGAGACACGGCCCAGACUCCUACGGGAGGCAGCAGUGGGGAAUAUUGCACAAUGGGGGAAACCCUGAUGCAGCGACGCCGCGUGAAGGAAGAAGUAUCUCGGUAUGUAAACUUCUAUCAGCAGGGAAGAAAAUGACGGU
rnacentral:rRNA from 1 species